rnacentral:rRNA from 1 species
UACGGAGGGUGCAAACGUUGCUCGGAAUCAUUGGGCGUAAAGCGCACGUAGGCGGCCUGUUAAGUCGGGUGUGAAAGCCCCGGGCUCAACCUGGGAAUUGCAUUUGAGACUGCGUAGCUAGGGUGCGGAAGAGGGAAGCGGAAUUUCCGGUGUAGCGGUGAAAUUCGUAGAUAUUCGGAAGAACACCAGUGGCGAAGGCGGCUCACUGGCCCGUUACCGACGCUCAGGCGCGACAGCGUGGGGAGCAAACAGG